GGGGAUUUGGCUCAGUGGUAGAGCGCUUGCCUAGCAAGCGCAAGGUUCUGGGUUCGGUCCCCAGCUCCG
rfam:Rattus norvegicus chromosome 2, whole genome shotgun sequence.